rnacentral:siRNA from 1 species
UGAGAUUUUCAAGUCGUCUAAA